CAGCUUUGUGUUGGAGCAAAAGUGAUGGUCAUUAAAAAUGUGGAUGUUUCAGAUGGGCUAGUAAAUGGCACACAAGGCAUAGUAAGAGACUUUUGGAAACCAGAAAUCGCAGGGAAAAAAGUUAUACUGUAACUGCUGUUAUAGUGAAACUUGAUGAUAACAAUUCUGAAGCACAAACACGUGCAAAAUAUCCUCAAAUUGGUAGAAAGGAUCCAGGUUGUGCACCAAUCUUUAGAGACGAAGUUACAUAUUGGUGGUUACAAUAAAGGAUGUCAAGAAGUUCGCCAACAGUUUCCUCUUCGACUGUCCUGGGCUUGCACUGUUCACAAAACGCAGGGUAUGACACUACAGAAAGCUGUGGUACACGUUGAAGGACGGUUUGAUAAUGGUCAGUGUUACGUUGCCUUGAGUCGAGUAACCUCUCUAAAUGGUUUAUUUUUAACAAAGUUUGAUGGUAACAAGAUGAGGGCAAGCAAUGAAACUAAAGAAUGUAUUAAGUCUAUGAAUUUGAAACUAGUGACUUUUUACAAAACCUUGUUAACCAGAUACCAUAAAAUUUGAUCAGACUUGCUCUCUUGAACACUAGAUCAUUCCAUAGGUACUUCAAAGACAUUAUCUCAGAUCCAGAGUUAACUUCAGCAGAUGUUUUAUGUUUCACUGAAACUUGGAUGAAACAGCAGCCAACACCAGACCUGACUAACAGGACAACAUAUCGGCAAGAUAGAAAGUACAAGCAAGCUGCUGGAGUUCUCUGCUAUAUCAGUACUGAAUUUAAAUCGCAGUGUUUCCUUAGAGAAACCAACAAUGAUAUAGACAUUUAACAUGUCGUGCUAAGUGUUAGGGACUCAGUUCAUAAUAUAUUAGUUUAUUGUGCACCAAAUGGUAGCACUGCUCACUGCAAGGACAUUAUCUAUAAUGCAAUCAAGGACAUUCCGGACACUGAUAGAAACUUAUCCUGGAGGACUUCAACAAGGUAGUCCUAAAUAGUCAGAAGUUUUCUACAUUUCGAAACCUGAUUCAAAGUCCCACGUGUAAGACAGGCAGUGUUUUAGACAUGGUGUUUUACAACAGACAGGAUCAAGUCAUGACUCAUAUUCACCAAGUGUACUUUAGUGACCAUAUUGUUAUUUGGGUUGGAGUUCCAUUUUAAAGAAAAGGGGGUCCUUUCAAAUCACCAGAGGCGGCAAAGGUGACUACGGCUAUUUGCAAUAUUUUAUUCGGUAAGGCCAUCUUAUUGACAUGAAGCUGUACUAUCAGGAAUUCUAUGUGAAAAAAAGCAGAAUACCAGAUUAAGGAAUUAAGAACUAGCAUUUAAGAUAUUGUUUCUGAAUACAGUAUCUGUAACAAA